GCAGUGUGUGUUCUGUCACCAUGGGUUUUUUUUCCUGCCUUCGGACUCAGGGUUUACAGCUCUGCGAGUAGCUGCUCCGUGACAGCAUCGCUCUGCAGUCACAGGCCCACCGCCUGCCUGUAAGGAACCCCAUCUGGGAGACGGGAAGCUGCGGUGCACUCAGAAGAGAAUGGAAGGCCUUCAGAAGAGCACAUAUGGAACUAUAGUUGAAGCCCUGAGACGGGAUCUCUCAGUGGAUUGCUUUCUACUAGACUAACUGCCAGGAGCUCCAGGAUCUGCCUACCACUUUGUGCUGCCUGAUGCUGAGAUUACAGCUGCAAAGUGCAGAGAAGAGAGAACAGGUCAGAUUUCAGACUUGAUUCUGCUUCUCUUGAACUGCCGUUCAGUGAGACAUUUGAGGCCUCAAGCAAUAGUUCCCACAUGGAUAUUGUCUAAGGAGUGGACUCCCCAGAAGUAGAAUAUAUGAUACCGAAUUUUUAAGAAAAGUGGCCAAGGGGUUGGGGAUUUAGCUCAGUGGUAGAGCGCUUGCCUAGGAAGCGCAAGGCCCUGGGUUUGGUCCUCAGCUCCGGAUUAAAAAAAGAAAAGAAAAAAGAAGAAGAAGAAAAGUGGCCAAUAUAAACACUGGGUUAAGCAGGAGCCCUAAUGCCAACAAAGUCAUGCUAGAAGCCAAGCAAGGAGGCUGUGUGGAGCUCAGCGAAGACUCUGAAGCCUGGGUGUGAUUCGCCAACCUUGAA
rnacentral:lncRNA from 1 species